rnacentral:rRNA from 1 species
AGAGUUUGAUCCUGGCUCAGGGUGAACGCUGGCGGCGUGCUUGACACAUGCAAGUCGAACGGUAUGUGGCAACACAUAGAGUGGCGAACGGGUGAGUAACACGUGGGAACGUAUCUUUUGCAGGGGGAUAACUGACCGAAAGGACAGCUAAUACCGCAUAAGUCCGGGAGGAGGAAGGUGCAACAGCAUCGGCAGAAGAGCGGCCCGCGGUCCAUCAGCUAGUUGGUGAAGUAAGGGCUUACCAAGGCGACGACGGAUAGCCGGCGUGAGAGCGUGGCCGGCCACAAGGACACUGAGAUACGGGUCCUACUCCUACGGGAGGCAGCAGUGCGGAAUUUUAGAUAAUGGAGGGAACUCUGAUCUAGCGACGCCGCGUGCAGGAAGAAGGUCUUCGGAUUGUAAACUGCUGUGGUAAGGGAAAAAUGCUAUGUAGAGUGGAAAGCUACAUAGAGGGAUGGUACCUUACUAGAAAGCCCCGGCUAACUACGUGCCAGCAGCCGCGGUAAUACGUAGGGGGCGAGCGUUACCCGGAAUCACUGGGCGUAAAGGGAGCGUAGGUGGCCUAACAUGUCAACUGUGAAAACCCGGAGCUCAACUCCGGACUUGCAGUUGAAACUGGUAGGCUUGAGGACGGUAGAGGAAGACGGAACUGCCAGGGUAGGGGUAAAAUCCUUAGAUAUUGGCAGGAACCCCGGUGACGAAGGUGGUUUUUUGGGCCGGUUCUGACACUGAUGCUCGAAAGCCAGGGGAGCGAACGGGAUUAGAUACCCCGGUAGUCCUGGCCCUAAACGAUGUUCACUAGGUGUGGGGAGCGGAAAGCUCUCCGUGCUAAAGCUAACGCGAUAAGUGAACCGCCUGGGGAGUACGCCCGCAAGGGUGAAACUCAAAGGAAUUGACGG